GUGGGGAAUAUUGCACAAUGGGGGAAACCCUGAUGCAGCAACGCCGCGUGAGUGAAGAAGUAUUUCGGUAUGUAAAGCUCUAUCAGCAGGGAAGAUAAUGACGGUACCUGACUAAGAAGCUCCGGCUAAAUACGUGCCAGCAGCCGCGGUAAUACGUAUGGAGCAAGCGUUAUCCGGAUUUACUGGGUGUAAAGGGUGCGUAGGUGGCAGUGCAAGUCAGAUGUGAAAGGCCGGGGCUCAACCCCGGAGCUGCAUUUGAAACUGCAUAGCUAGAGUACAGGAGAGGCAGGCGGAAUUCCUAGUGUAGCGGUGAAAUGCGUAGAUAUUAGGAGGAACACCAGUGGCGAAGGCGGCCUGCUGGACUGUUACUGACACUGAGGCACGAAAGCGUGGGGAGCAAACAGGAUUAGAAACCCUAGUAGUCCC
rnacentral:rRNA from 1 species